rnacentral:rRNA from 1 species
GACGAACGCUGGCGGCGUGCUUAACACAUGCAAGUCGAACGGAAAGGCCCUGCUUUUGUGGGGUGCUCGAGUGGCGAACGGGUGAGUAACAUGUGAGUAACCUGCCCUUGACUUUGGGAUAACUUCAGGAAACUGGGGCUAAUACCGGAUAGGAGCUCCUGCUGCAUGGUGGGGGUUGGAAAGUUUCGGCGGUUGGGGAUGGACUCGCGGCUUAUCAGCUUGUUGGUGGGGUAGUGGCUUACCAAGGCUUUGCCGGGUAGCCGGCCUGAGAGGGUGACCGGCCACAGUGGGACUGAGAUACGGCCCAGACUCCUACGGGAGGCAGCAGUGGGGAAUAUUGCACAAUGGGCGGAAGCCUGAUGCAGCAACGCCGCGUGCGGGAUGACGGCCUUCGGGUUGUAAACCGCUUUCGCCUGUGACGAAGCGUGAGUGACGGUAAUGGGUAAAGAAGCACCGGCUAACUACGUG